rnacentral:rRNA from 1 species
GAAGCUGGAAUUGCUAGUAAUGGCAGGUCAGCAUACUGCCGUGAAUACGUUCCCGGGCCUUGUAUACACCGCCCGUCACACCAUGAGAGUUGGGAAUACCCGAAGCCUGUGAGCUAACUUAUAGAGGCAGCAGUCGAAGGUAGAAUCAAUGAUUGGGGUGAAGUCGUAACAAGGUAUC